GACGACGGGUAGCCGGCCUGAGAGGGUGACCGGCCACACUGGGACUGAGACACGGCCCAGACUCCUACGGGAGGCAGCAGUGGGGAAUAUUGGACAAUGGGCGAAAGCCUGAUCCAGCAACGCCGCGUGAGGGAUGACGGCCUUCGGGUUGUAAACCUCUUUCAGCAGGGACGAAGCGAGAGUGACGGUACCUGCAGAAGAAGGACCGGCCAACUACGUGCCAGCAGCCGCGGUAAUACGUAGGGUCCGAGCGUUGUCCGGAAUUAUUGGGCGUAAAGGGCUCGUAGGCGGUCUGUCGCGUCGGGAGUGAAAACUCAGGGCUCAACCCUGAGCGUGCUUCCGAUACGGGCAGACUAGAGGUAUGCAGGGGAGAACGGAAUUCCUGGUGUAGCGGUGGAAUGCGCAGAUAUCAGGAGGAACACCGGUGGCGAAGGCGGUUCUCUGGGCAUUACCUGACGCUGAGGAGCGAAAGCAUGGGGAGCGAACAGGAUUAGAUACCCUGGUAGUCCAUGCCGUAAACGUUGGGCGCUAGGUGUGGGGACCUUCCACGGUUUCCGUGCCGCAGCUAACGCAUUAAGCGCCCCGCCUGGGGAGUACGGCCGCAAGGCUAAAACUCAAAGGAAUUGACGGGGGCCCGCACAAGCGGCGGAGCAUGCUGAUUAAUUCGAUGCAACGCGAAGAACCUUACCUGGGUUUGACAUAUACCGGAAAGCUGCAGAGAUGUGGCCCCCCUUGU
rnacentral:rRNA from 1 species